ACGGUGCUUUUGCCGACGGCUCGGGAUGGCGCGGUGUCUACAACGAACUGACCGGGCGCGGCUACCGCGUCACGGUGGUUCAGAACCCGCUGACGUCGUU
rnacentral:tRNA from 1 species